rnacentral:tRNA from 1 species
GCGGUUGUAGUAUAGUGGUUAGUAUACAAGACUGUGGCUCUUGGGACCCGGGUUCGAUUCCCGGCUUCCGCC